GGCCUACCAUGGUGGUAACGGGUAACGGGGUGUUAGGGCACGACACCGGAGAGGGAGCCUGAGAAACGGCUACCACAUCCAAGGAUGGCAGCAGGCGCGCAAAUUACCCAAUCCCGACACGGGGAGGUAGUGACAAUAAAUAACAAUACGGGGUUCUUUUGGAUCUCGUAAUUGGAAUGAGUACAAUUUAAACCUCUUAACGAGGAACAAUUGGAGGGCAAGUCUGGUGCCAGCAGCCGCGGUAAUUCCAGCUCCAAUAGCGUAUAUUAAAGUUGUUGCAGUUAAAAAGCUCGUAGUUGAAUUUCGAGAUCGGUUUAUUGGUCGUGCUAUUGUACGUACUGGUAUUACCGGUUUCUCCUUUCUGACGAACCUUAAUGCCAUUAAUUUGGUGUUUUGGGAAAUCAGGACUGUUACUUUGAAAAAUUAGAGUGUUUAAAGCAGGCUCACGCUUGAAUACAUUAGCAUGGAAUAACGGAAUAGGACGUUUGAUUCUAUUUUGUUGGUUUCUAGGAUCGACGUAAUGAUUAAUAGGGAUAGUUGGGGGCAUUAGUAUUCAAUUGUCAGAGGUGAAAUUCUUGGAUUUAUUGAAGACUAACUACUGCGAAAGCAUUUGCCAAGGAUGUUUUCAUUAAUCAAGAACGAAAGUUAGGGGAUCGAAGACGAUCAGAUACCGUCGUAGUCUUAACCAUAAACUAUGCCGACUAGGGAUCGGAUGAUGUUAAUUUUUUAAUGACUCAUUCGGCGCCUUACGGGAAACCAAAGUGUUUGGGUUC
rnacentral:rRNA from 1 species